CAGCUGCUGCUGAUGAAGCCAAAGCUGAGCGAGGUGCACCCUCUGCUGACACUGUGUGGGACCAUUGAAGAAAACUGUAAGGGUGACCCCAUUCAGAAGGGGUCCCUCUGGGUUUAUUCCUGGUGCUUCAGGUUGCACACUACAUGGAUGCUGGACAGAUCAGAACAAGGUUUGUGGAAACACCAUGGUUACCCACGAGGCAGCUCAAAUGCACCAGAACUUUUUCUCUGCAGCCUCCCUGAACACAACGUCCAAUCCACCGUGCCUGGAUUUUGAAAGAAACUGUGAUGUGUUAUGUUCACAAAGAGCAAUUAAAUGGAAAAUAACAUAAAACAAUGAACUGAAAAAAAGGAGAAACAGCCUAUAAUAGGGUAAGAGGAAGAGGAGGUAGGAUAAUGAAAUUGCGUAAUUUGGAAAGCUUAUAACCUGUGCAUUCCUUCACCUACUUGGGGCACUGGGUCAUCAUAACUGGAUUUUAAGAAAAGUUUUUUGGAAAGCAUAAGGUGUCAAGGGCCCAUUUUUUGUUAGUGACACACUUUGGUGGUUGUAAUAGUUUUUUUUAUACUAGACCAAAAACAAAUUGUAGGAAAAGUUGUAUUAGAAGACUGAUACCACUUUCAUAUCUCUAUUGUAAAUAUGCACAACAACUGGAAACAGCUAGUUUGAACCUAAUGAGCUUUAGAGGUGCUGGUAGAGGGAUUGUGUUCCCUUUGGACAGAGCCAGGCUAGCUGUUUCUCCCUGUUUCCAGCCUUUUGUUCAAAGCUAAGUUAGUCCGCUGCUGGCAAUAGCUUCAUAUCUAUCUUCUCACUCUUGGCAAAAAGCAAAUGUCAAAGUUUUCCGUGCCCUGUGGAGUUUUCUUGUAACAAACAAAAGUAAUGUUUACAUUCAGUGUUAUUCACCAAAAUGCGUUGUGUGUAUCCUUGUCGUCUAACAAACAUGUGGUGGAGUACAUAUCCUUCCUCGUAAAAAAGCUUUUUGUGUCUCCGCGCCGUGGCUGGAGGCACAAUGUUGGCCGUCCGUCACAUUCUCAUGAACGCAAUAGCUCAGGAAAGCAAGGAGAGAAUUUAUUUGGUGGUCAGAGGUCACUGUGACCUCACAACACACGUCUUUGGCCCAAACUCAGGAGUUCAUAGGUAAUUAUGACUGAAUUUCACACAAAUGUCUAAUAGGAUAAAAUAAUGAAGGGAUGAAAUUUUGGAACUUGACAGGUUGGCGGAGGCGGUGAUUGUAGUGUACUAGCUUGCGGUCUUAUUUUUCCAUGCAAAUGACAACCUUGGUAGGAGUUUGUAUCACAUCACACUCUUUCUUGCACGACCAUCAUGGAGGUAUUUUUUAUUUUAGGAUCAAGUAAUAUAGAAAUGUUGCGAGAACAUUAAAGAUUAAAGAAGCUUAAAUUAGUGUUGAAUUUAAACCAUCCUUUGUUGAAACUGACAGUCAAAUGGGCCUCAGUCUAUUGUUGUCCAUUAAUGUCCAAACCCAGUUGGGAUACAUUUGGAUAUACAGUAUACUAUAUAUCUGUAAUGAUCUUAAUGUAGUGUAGUGGUUUGAUAUGUACUUGGUGGUUGGGUUGACAGUUGCAUAUGUAGUUUAUUCACUGAAGAGAAACAAAGGUGAACAUUCAUUAGAUUAAAGACAAUUGAACAUUAUAUUAGAUAUUAGAACUAGACCCUGGAACCAGCUGAUCAUUUUAUACAAAGGCAAAUAUUGGCUUGCUUUACAUCCAACAGCCUUUAUUAAUGUUUUGAAGGUAGAGUUAAAGUGUACCCGUUUUCAGACUGAUUUUUGGACACUGCAAUUUAGUUGACUUUCUGCCUGACCUUUACAUCGUUAACCCUUUCCCCUCUCACUGUGGUGCAUGUUAAGAUGCUGUGCACAUUUUGGGUGGAGUUAAGAAACCAGCAAUAAUAAGAUUGACUGUUACUUGUUUGCACAUGCUGUAUGUUUCAUUAUAGUUUCCAUGUAAGCAUUUUGGAUUAAUUGUUUUUUCUCAUUUCCUGUUUUACUCAUGUCUUCCAGAUGAUGGCGGUAGAAAUCCUUAUUUCUUUAAUGUUGCUUUUCAUUAUACUAGAUACAGUUGUUGUUUGCUGAUUACCGUUUCAUAUAUUAUUAAAUAACUGGUAAAGACAUUUGAUAGUCAGAUCUUUGCACUGGUAGUUUCAAAAUGACCUAGUGAGUUUGGUCAUUUGCAAAGUAAUUACUGUAAUAUAAACUCCAUUAUAG
ensembl:lncRNA